CAAACGCAAUAAGGCACACGGUGGAUGCCUUGGCAUCGAGAGGCGAUGAAGGGCGUGAUAAGCUGCGAUAAGCCUGGGGGAGCUGCACACAAGCCGUGAUCUCAGGAUGUCCGAAUGGGGAAACCCAGCCGGCGGCGACGCCGGUUAUCCCGCAAGGGAAGCCAACCCGGGGAACUGAAACAUCUCAGUACCCGGAGGAACAGAAAUCAACCGAGAUUCUCCUAGUAGCGGUGAGCGAACGGGGAAGAGGCCAAACCCGGGGAGCAUGCUCCCCGGGGGUUGUGGGACCACAACGUGGGAUGCACGACGCCAGAGUGAAGCGGCCUGGAAUGGCCCGCCAGAGACGGUGAAAGCCCGGUAACUAGACGCGUACGGCCCCUAGUGGGAUCCCGAGUAGCGCGGACCACGUGGAAUUCUGCGCGAAUCUGGGGGGACCACCCUCCAAGCCUAAAUACUCCUCGAUGACCGAUAGUGCACUAGUACCGUGAGGGAAAGGUGAAAAGCACGCCAGGUGGCGAGUGAAAGAGAUCCUGAAACCGUGUGCUGACAAGCGGUCGGAGGACACGCAAGUGUCUGACGGCGUGCCUUUUGCAUUAUGAUCCGGCGAGUUACUGAUCACGUGCAGGUUAAGGCCCUCAGGGCCGGAGCCAGAGCGAAAGCGAGUCUGAUAAGGGCGAUUCGUACGUGGUCGUAGACCCGAAGCCGUGGCGAUCUACCCUUGAGCAGGUUGAAGCCGCCGUAACAGGCGGUGGAGGACCGAACCCAUGUGGGUUGAAAACCGCUGGGAUGACUUGAGGGUAGGGGUGAAAGGCCAAUCAAGCUCGGAGAUAGCUGGUUCUCCCCGAAAUAUAUUUUGGUAUAGCCUCGGGAAAUGAGUUCACAGGAGGUAGAGCACUGGAUGGGUCCGGGUCGUGAAUAACGAUACCUCCCCCAACCAAACUCCGAAUGCCUGUUGAAUGCUGCCCGGGAGGCAGUCGCGGUGCGCUAAUGUACCGUGGCGAGAGGGAAAGAACCCAGAACCUCAGCUAAGGCCCCGGAGUGGCGGCUCAGUGUAGCAAAGGAUGUGGGUAUGCUGUGACAACUGGGAGGUUGGCUUAGAAGCAGCCAUUCCUUUAAAGAGUGCGUAAUAGCUCACCCCGCCGAAGCUAUGUCUUUGUGCGCAAGCACAAGGGGUAGGGGAGCGUUCCCAUAGCGUUGAAGCCGGGGCGGAAGCCUUCCGGUGGAGCGGUGGGAAGUGAGGAUGCCGGAUUAAGUACGCGAGAAACAGGGUGAAAACCCCUGUCACCGUAAGCCUAAGGGUUCCUGAGCCAUGUCGAUCAGCUCAGGGUCAGUCGGUCCCUAAGUCGAGGCCGAGAGGCGUAGACGAUGGGAAACGGGUCAACAUUCCCGUACCAACUGUAGGCCGUUAUGAGUCCGAGGAGGGACGCAGGAGCAAGGUUACCGGCGGGUGGUGGAUUUUCCGCUGCAAGGUGGUAGACGUUGCCCGGUAGGCAAAUCCGCCGGGUUAGUCGAGAACCGAUGCCGAAGGGGCCGCUAGGCCCCGUCAAGGGUGGCUGCCGCACACUGCCAAGAAAAGCUUCGCGGACCAGGACUGCAGUUGACCGUACCGUAAUCCGACACAGGUGGGCGAGGCGAGAAGCCUAAGGUGCUCGAGUGAUUUACGGAAAAGGAACUCGGCAAAAUUACCCCGUAACUUCGGGAUAAGGGGUGCCGGUUGUAGGUGACUCCGUACAGGAGAAGCCCAAGCCGGCCGCAGAGAAUCGUCCCAAGCGACUGUUUAGCAAAAACACAGGAGCGUGCUAAGGCAUUGUCCAAGCCGACGUAUACGCUCUGACUCCUGCCCGGUGCCGGAAGGUUAAGGCAAGCGGUUAGCCGCAAGGCAAAGCUGCGAACCGAAGCCCCGGUAAACGGCGGCCGUAACUAUAACGGUCCUAAGGUAGCGAAAUUCCUUGUCGGGUAAGUUCCGACCUGCACGAAUGGAGUAACGA
rnacentral:rRNA from 1 species